CAGAACGAACGCUGGCGGCGCGUCUUAAGCAUGCAAGUCGAACGGCAAGAGGUAGCAAUACCUCCUAGAGUGGCGGACUGGUGAGUAACACGUGGGUGACAUACCCUUCAGAUGGGGAUAGCUAUUAGAAAUAGUAGAUAAUACCGAAUACGAGCACAGGGGUUAGAGAUCUGUGAGGAAAGGAGCUAAGGCUCCGCUGAAGGAAUGGCCUGCGGCCCAUUAGCUAGUUGGUGAGGUAAGAGCCCACCAAGGCGAUGAUGGGUAUCCGGCCUUAGAGGGUGAACGGACACAUUGGGACUGAGAUACGGCCCAGACUCCUACGGGAGGCAGCAGCUAAGAAUAUUCCGCAAUGGACGAAAGUCUGACGGAGCGACGCCGCGUGGAUGAAGAAGGCCGGAAGGUUGUAAAAUCCUUUUGAAACUGAAGAAUAAGCGUUGUAGGGAAUGACAGCGUGGUGACAGUAGGUUUUGAAUAAGCAACGGCUAAUUACGUGCCAGCAGCCGC
rnacentral:rRNA from 1 species